GAUGAAGAACGCAGCGAAAUGCGAUAAGUAAUGUGAAUUGCAGAAUUCAGUGAAUCAUCGAAUCUUUGAACGCACCUUGCGCUCCUUGGUAUUCCGAGGAGCAUGCCUGUUUGAGUGUCAUUAAAUUCUCAACCUCACCAGUUUUGUAACGAGACUGUGUA
rnacentral:rRNA from 2 species